rnacentral:rRNA from 1 species
CACGCAGGCGGCCAGCUAAGUCAGAUGUGAAAGCCCACGGCUCAACCGUGGAACUGCAUUUGAAACUGGUUGGCUAGAGGACGGUUGGGGUGAGUGGAACUCCUGGUGGAGCGGUGAAAUGCGUAGAUAUCAGGAGGAACACCAGUGGCGAAAGCGGCUCACUGGACCGUAACUGACGCUCAGGUGCGAAAGCUAGGGUAGCGAACG